rnacentral:tRNA from 1 species
UCCUGGGUGGCACAAAUGGUCAAGGCAUUUGAUUGCUAACCAAAAGGUUUGAGGUUCGAGUCCACCCAGGGG